GACGAACGCUGGCGGCGUGCCUAAUACAUGCAAGUAGAACGCUGAAGGAGGAGCUUGCUUCUCUGGAUGAGUUGCGAACGGGUGAGUAACGCGUAGGUAACCUGCCUGGUAGCGGGGGAUAACUAUUGGAAACGAUAGCUAAUACCGCAUAAUAGUAGAUGUUGCAUGACAUUUGCUUAAAAGGUGCAAUUGCAUCACUACCAGAUGGACCUGCGUUGUAUUAGCUAGUUGGUGAGGUAACGGCUCACCAAGGCGACGAUACAUAGCCGACCUGAGAGGGUGAUCGGCCACACUGGGAUUGAGACACGGCCCAGACUCCUACGGGGGGCAGCAGUAGGGAAUCUUCGGCAAUGGACGGAAGGCUGACCGAGCAACGCCGCGUGAGUGAAGAAGGGUUUCGGAUCGUAAAGCUCUGUUGUAAGAGAAGAACGAGUGUGAGAGUGGAAAGUUCACACUGUGACGGUAUCUUACCAGAAAGGGACGGCUAACUACGUG
rnacentral:rRNA from 1 species